UUUAUUUCCCCAAUUUAUUUAAAAAAAUGAAGAAUUAAAAAACAGAACGUACCACAAUUUUCUUAAGUAUACAUCAAUAAAAAUCCUCUUGAUUUAAAAAAGAAAAGAAAAUCAAAACCCAAAUACACAGUAUAGUUCUUGCAUAUUGGUUGUUUAUAGACAGGAAGGCAGUUUUCCAUCCAGGCCACAGAAACACUUUACCGCUACAGUCGUCCCGUGAAUAACCGCCCAAAACAAGUUGAUCAUUGGAACAAGGCACCACUAUAAAUACAUUUUCUAUACAUCUAGGUAUCUGUAUAUAGAAUGCACGAGGAAACGCAUCAGGACCAGAGUUCAGCCAGUCGGAGGCCUGACUGUCGGCUGGUCUUAGUGGGUUUCAUCCUGCUGAUCAAUGCAGGUAGACGAUUCUGAUGUAUCCCAGCAGAAGGCUGGAUGGCCUCAGUUCAGAGGAGGUUUGUGCUUCAGCGUGCGCACAAAAAGGCAAAAAAAACAGACACAACACGGUCACACUGUUUGCAUAAUUGUGAAAUUCAUUCAUGCAUUAACGAGUUUCUCGCACCGUUGCUGCCAAAUGCAAAGUACAUAAUGAAGAAGCUUGAUGGAGAACAACGACAAAUUGUAAAAACAAAGAACACACCCUCCCCCGAGCCGCUUAAGUAAAUCAAAUGUAAUACAACAUGUGGUGAAAGGUGUGCAGUAGGGAAAGGUGAACAUGCCAUCACAAGUGUUUCAGCCAAUAAGAUCAGUACAAAAAAAGGGGGCACUAACUUAUACGGACUCUAAAAAAAUCUUUCAAGCUAAGAUCUAUGUACAUUUUACAAGAAGAAGACACGGGGGGGGGAACGUAAGCAACGGCUAAUGGCACCGCUGAGACAACGGGCGAGAGAAUGAAUCAGGAAGCGAUGGUGGCCAGAGGGACGCUGACAGAGUCUUCCUUCGACGUUUCCUUUGCAUCCUCGUCUCGUUUCCUUGGCAGCUGGGACAGGUCCAAUCACGUGCUCACCAAACGGUCCUCCGGGUCAACACAAAGCUUCCAUCACUCCUACGUGUGUGCAAGGAAAUCACAGCUCGGCGGUCUGGCAUCAAGGCCACGGAGGUCGAACGCUCUUCAGCUCCGUAUCUACGUUUAUCUAAAAAGGCGGCUGUAACAUUCUUUUUUGUGCUUUUUCAAAUCCCUUCCCUCAAGUUGCCCUCGCUGGAGUUGGAGGAGAGGAAAAGCAGUUGCUGCAUUAGCAUUAGCAUUAGCAUUCCGCCAGCAGAGUUGGUCUGGUCUUUGGUGCGGCGUGCAUGUUGGCCAGUUGUGCCACUACGACGGCAUUAAAUCAUCAUCAUCAUUAGAAUUACAAUCGACUUCUGAAUAAAAUACAAAGACAGUGCUCAGUUUUGAUACAACGGUUGCUACCAGAGAAGAAUCUAAAACAUGUGCAACCAACGGUACGUAACGGCAUCUUAAGUCGGGAGCUGUGGAUUUGGGGAAAGGUUUGCUUUCUGACGUUGGCAGCUCUAUAUUUACUUAUUCUUUGGGCUGGAACACUUUGUCUGAACUCACUGACUCGUCGGAAUAAAUAAAAGCGGUAAAAACAGACCGUUAUCACCGUUAUUGACAGCAGGGUUUACUUAUAGUGAGACUAUUUAUGAACGUCUCUGCGUGACACAAAUCACAGCGAGAACCCUGCAAACAAGCACACGUUGAUUUAAAACUUUGUAACACACGUACACACACUUUCUUGCAGGAAAUCUCCCGCAUACAUGAAGCCAAUCUGAAUAGAGUCAACACGUUUAUCAAAAACAGUGUGAUUUUGACUUAGUUUCAUCAGAAAAAAGUGCAUGUCGGUGGUACUUUGGCAUAGAUUAGAAAUAACUUUAUCAGCAGUAGUAUUUGAAACCUGUUAAUAGCUUAUAGCCAGCUAUACUUGGCAUAGGAUUCCUCCUUUACUGCACUAACUUCAUCUGCUAAUGAUAUCCAUUGCUUUCUGGCGUGUGUAUGUGUGUUACAGCAGAUUACAAUCACUACAUUUUGUUGUUGGCUGCAUCUCUCUCUCACAGCAAAAUAUUGCUUUAGAUUCUUUUGGCACUUUUGGGUCCUGCAAAAACAAUCUUCCACUCAAAAGUAGGAUGUCCGUUUCCCUCUCUACCAACACACACACACGUUCAGACACACGUUCACAUGCAGACACCUUCUCAUGUCACAUCACUGCACCACUGCACUGAGCAUCAAGCCCCCGAAUGCAGCCGAGGGUCCAGGCGGGACUUCAUCAGGCGUCUCCGGGGAAGCUUCUGAAAGUUACGCUUUGCACCCCCAGCUAG
ensembl:lncRNA